GGAAGAAUCAAUUUACUGGAUGUGAACGUAAUAAAUCACAAUGCUCGGGAUGUGUUGGUUGAGGGGCCAACAGUCACCAGUGAGUUUUGAGCAUCCAUCUUCCAGAACCCACAAUUGCAUCCACUUAUCCACAAUUGUUUGAGGGAGGGAGGGAGACCAUCCUCUGGCAAGUACCUCAACUUUGGGCAAUCUCCAAUACACAAUUGUGUGAGAGAGGAGAGAUGGUUGCGAAGACCGCUUGAUAGUCUUUCCACCUUUCUCAUACUGUCGACGCGAAGAAAGGUUAGAGAGGAAGGGAA